GGGGUUGUGGCUCAGUGGUAGAGUGCUCGCCUAGCAUGUGCAAGGCCUGAGUUCAAUCCUCAGCACCA
rnacentral:tRNA from 1 species